UGUCCAUAAGGUGACCAACUUUCAAGUGAGAAAACAGUAUAUCAUGCCAUUGUUCGCACAUAAAACAUUUAUGUUUAUCAUUGUAAUUGGUGAAGUACUGUACCAAUUUCUUGGUGAGUGGGCAUUUGCACUUUUCACUGAGUGCAUUUACCUCAACCGCAUAAGGGAGCCUUCAGAUGGUGGAUGAAAAAUCACCUGUUGCAAGAAAUGGCCUCACCAGCCUACUCUGCUGGCAGCACUCACCGCUUUUAUCGAAAAUGGAAAAAAAGAGAAAAUCCCCAUGUAGAAUGCAGAAUAGUUGACUCCUGUUUUAUUUCUAACUAUUAAUUCCUGUUGGUGUUGAUGUUUUCAUCAGUUGAUCUGUGUAGAAAUUCCCGCUGCGACAAAAACCUUUUUCACAGCGGCACAGCUACAUAAAUGUGGACGACCGUUUCACAUCCAAGGCUAUCGCCGGUUAUCAACUGUGGCCUCUCCAAGAGCAAUGCCUCUGUCCGCAACCACUCUUCAUUGGAAAUGAAUGGGCGACAGGCGUCUGUUUUUUUUCAUCUGGUGGCAUCCUAAGGCUGAAUGUGAUAAUGAGUGUAGGCAAAUUUGUGCCACGGUAAUCUGAUAUAUCUCCGUAUUGGGUGUAUUCUUACUUUAUGUUAUUUUAUUUAUUUAUUUUUUAUGCUUAAUUUCUGAGUUGUUUGGUGUGUGUUUUUUUUUUAAAUGUAUUUUGUCUGUUUCGUUUUGUUGUGGUUUGUUUAUGUAUUGUUCUUCUGUACUAUGUGGCCUCAAUCAUGGCAUUGCUGCAAAAGAGCCCUGUGCUCAGUCAAUUUCUCCCUGAAUAAACAAUGAUGAUGAUGAUUCUUCUGUUCUGUCUAAGGCCUGGAGCAGCUCUACGUGGAGGUGGCUUUGCUGCACACCCUUGUGACUGUGAAGGAGCUGUUGCUUCAGUGUGGAGCUAGUGCAGCUUGUGCGUACCUGGUGAAGGCCAAAAAUGCCCAUGAGACAGAUGUGUUGGACCAGCUGCACAAAAAAAUCCUGAUUUUGCAGUUCCACAGUCAGAAGAGGAGUGAGCCCGACUCCAAACUACUAGAGCUCCAGGACGUGAUGAGAUCAUGGCUUCAGUCUGUCACCACCCAGCAACCCCUCUCUAAAGUGCUGUUAUUGAUCUCAAUCAACUCUGACUCUUUGAGAGCACUGCUUAUUGGAAGUCUUAAUAAGAUAUCAGGUGAGACAGUCACACCACUGUGACAAGUGGGUGUGUGUUUUUUUGUCUUCCAGAGAAGGAGCAGUAUGGUUAGGAGCGAUAUGGUUAGGGGCGAUAUGGUUAGGGGAGAUAUGGUUAGCAGCAGUAUGGUUAGGAGCGGUAUGUUAGCAGCGGUAUGGUAAGGAGCGGGAUGGUUAGCGGUGGUAUGGUUAGCGGCGGUAUGGUUAGGAGCAGUAUGGUUAGGUGUAAGUAUAGGGUGUGGUUAGGGGUGGUAUGGUAAGCGGCGGUAUGGUUAGGAGCCGUAUGGUAAGGAGCGGUAUGGUUAGGAGUGGUAUGGUUAGCAGACAGUAGAAGGCAGAGAGACACUGAGGUUAUGGGAAUGUGUUGUUUUCUCCUGCAGGUGAGGGUGUGGUGAACACAUUUGUGCCUGCAGACAACUGCCGUCAGGUGGAUGGCAAGAGGGUGUUGAACAGGUGUGUCUUUAGGUGUACUAUCAGAUUUCUU
ensembl:lncRNA